UACACCAGUGAUGACAGCUGGUGGCAUAUUAGUUAGAAACAAUGAAUACUUUGUGUCUGGAACUCGGAGGUCCAC